UACGUAGGUGGCAAGCGUUGUUCGGAAUUAUUGGGCGUAAAGGGCGCGUAGGCGGCAUGUUAAGUCGGCUGUGAAAGCCCGGGGCUCAACCCCGGAGAGUCGACCGAUACUGGCAGACUAGAGUACAGAAGAGGUAGCUGGAAUUCCUGGUGUAGCGGUGAAAUGCGUAGAUAUCAGGAGGAACACCUGAGGCGAAGGCGGGCUACUGGGCUGAUACUGACGCUGAUGCGCGAAAGCCAGGGGAGCAAACGGG
rnacentral:rRNA from 1 species